rnacentral:misc_RNA from 1 species
ACAAACAACAGAAGCUGACCCCUAUUGUCGCUAGUUGCAUCAGCAAUCAUGGCAAUUUCACUAGCUGAUGCUUCUGGGGCCAACAUGAACCCUGAUGUGGCCAACCCACCAAGACCAACCCCAAUUAUCACUCCCUUUGUCUCUCUCAUGCGAUUCAGUUGGUUAAGUGCUGGUUGGAGGAUGUUGAAUAGCACCCAAGCUACAGCUGGUAUUAUGGGAAGCAAGAGUGCUAAGCCACGGUUGUCCCCUUCUGCUAUUUCUGCUAUUUGUUGGGCAGCCAAAGCAGGAUCACAUGAGCUUAAGGUAGAAAAGAUAGCUCCAGCUAUGGCAGUACCUGCAAGAGCUGUCUUCUCUGCUGGCUUUGAGAUGGUUAGACCUUUAGGGAGGUCUUGCAUGGAGAGAAGGGAAAUGGGUUUUGUGGAUGGCUUGUUUUUUGUUGAGUUAAUGCUCAAGCACUUGGCAUUGAGCAUUGCCAUUGUAGCCAUAGUUGCUGCCAUGGAUUGAUGAAUGAUGGGGUGGCUCUAGUUUUUCC